rnacentral:lncRNA from 1 species
GGGAAACUGAUGCCUGAUACACAGUAAAUCAGGAGAUGUCUUUCUCCAGGACCAUGGACAGCACAAGGGUACAGCGAUCCUGGACCUACAAUAUGGAAACCUCUGCAUUUACGCAUGACUACCAAACCUUCCCACUCAUAACUGGGUAAAACAUGCUUGCCCCUAUCUCAAGGGUAGAUCCUUUUCAUGAGCUGCAGUGGUUUUCCACUCGUGUUCUCAAGUGAGAGUGUUUACUGGUGUUCUCUCUGCAAAUCAGCCACAAGGAGACUUGAAAGUCACAACUAAUCCUUGAUCCAUGGGUGGCAGAAUGUUACGUUUGCAGGCAUGAAAACAACACAAAUCUCCUUGUACAUCUCCAUCAGAGCUCUUGGGUAACCAAGUGCAUGACAAUGUGCUUUCUUGAUGUGGGAAUGAGCAAGACAGAUAAUUUGUAUACAUGGAGGUCACGGUAGCCCUAUCUGGAGUAUUUUCUAGUCCUUACCUGUUCACAGCCUGCUUUAAAUUAGUCAAAAGGCAGCACCUUAAGGUAGGUAGCCUCUGGGACCACAGGUCUUUCUUCAUUCGUUCUCCCUUCCCUCUUAAACCUUGUGGCCUAUUGUGUUACUUUGUCUAUUUCCCCUAGCUAGAGAUCUGCUGUGAUUAGCCAAAUCUCCUGAAAUCUGAAUAUCAUGAGCCUGCCUGAGUCUCACCAUUCUUCUCCUGAGCAAAAACACCCAUGCAUUUGGACGGCCCAUAUUCCCUGAAAAAGGAAGCUUCUAAAUUGUUUCAUCAGUUUCUGAUUUUGCCAGAUCUGGCAUCCUUCCUCUCCUAGAAAGUUAAUUUUGCUGAAACUCUUGCAAAUACUUCUUAUAAUUCCAAAUUUUGAAAAUAUGUAGUAACCCUUGUUGGCAUAGUGAUUGUCCAGUGCGAUUUGUUGCACCCUGAAUGUAAUUAUGGAUUUUAGGUUGAAAAACACAUUUUACUGGAUAAAACCCAUGAUCUCCAUAUUAAAUCUUACAAAUUAAAUCAGAAUGCAACACAACUUAUGGAUCUAAAUUUUAUUAUUAUCCCUUAAUACUCAUGCCUAGGCACUUGCAAUGUACUUUCCCCUUGUCAAGACCUUUCAGUUUAACCCUCUCAAAUCUACCUAUAUUUAGUUAUCACUACAUCUCCUCUAUACAAUACUAACUUGAAUCUUUUAAAAGAUAGUUCUUUUUUCUGUAGUGGUCUUUCCAAUCUCUCGACAUACCUCAAAGCAUCUUUCUAAAAAUAUUUUAGCCCAUAUUGUUUACUUCCUUUCCUGAUCUCCUCUGUUAAAUAAUAUUGACAUGAAAUGAUUUCACUCUUAAAAUUAUCUGACAGUGCUAUAGCACAGAGAUUGUCAUUAUUUGGUUUUUAUUUAACAGUUGAGGAAAAGUAGAAGUCAGGAAUAAUAAAUGCCA